AGCGAACGCUGGCGGCAGGCCUAACACAUGCAAGUCGAACGAACUCUUCGGAGUUAGUGGCGGACGGGUGAGUAACACGUGGGAACGUGCCUUUUGGUUCGGAAUAACUCAGGGAAACUUGUGCUAAUACCGAAUGUGCCCUUCGGGGGAAAGAUUUAUCGCCUUUAGAGCGGCCCGCGUCUGAUUAGCUAGUUGGUGGGGUAACGGCUCACCAAGGCGACGAUCAGUAGCUGGUAUGAGAGGAUGACCAGCCACACUGGGACUGGGACCCGGCCCAAAUCCUACGGGAAGGGAGCAGGGGGAAUCUUGCGCAAUGGGCGAAAGCCUGACGCAGCCAUGCCGCGUGAAUGAUGAAGGUCUUAGGAUUGUAAAAUUCUUUCACCGGGGACGAUAAUGACGGUACCCGGAGAAGAAGCCCCGGCUAACUUCGUG
rnacentral:rRNA from 1 species